UACGAAGGGGGCUAGCGUUGCUCGGAAUCACUGGGCGUAAAGGGUGCGUAGGCGGGUCUUUAAGUCAGGGGGGAAAUCCUGGAGCUCAACUCCAGAACUGCCUUUGAUACUGAAGAUCUUGAGUUCGGGAGAGGUGAGUGGAACUGCGAGUGUAGAGGUGAAAUUCGUAGAUAUUCGCAAGAACGCCAGUGGCGAAGGCGGCUCACUGGCCCGAUACUGACGCUGAUGCACGAAAGCGUGGGGAGCAAACAGG
rnacentral:rRNA from 1 species